CUGGCAUGGGUCCACUGAGCAGCACUGGUGAAUUCUGGCUCUGGAGCUUGGGGUUUUUAAAAGCUGGCAUUUUGUGAGGACACUUGAUGGCAGCUAAACAGUUUGCCAACCCCUGCUCUAGAAGGUAAACUUCUGGAGGACAAAGCUAUUGUCUCUUUGCUUCCCGCUCUGUCCACGGAACUUAGUCUGAUUCCUGGUGCCAUGACCUCACCUUGUACCACCAGCUGUGGUGCACAGCCCCACCCAGCCCUGGUGCAACCCCCAGACGAUAGAUCCCGGAGGCCAGGUGGGUGCAGGAUGGAUGUCUGUAAUGACCAGGGCCCUGCAUC
rnacentral:lncRNA from 1 species